UCCCUGGUGGUCCAGUGGCUAAGACUCUGUGCUUCCAAUGCAGGGGGCCUGGGUUCGAUCCCUAGUCAGGGAA
rnacentral:tRNA from 1 species